UCCCUGAUGGCUCAGUGGUAAAGAAUCUGCCUUCCAAUCCAGGAGACGCAGGUUCGAUCCCUGAUCAGGGAA
rnacentral:tRNA from 1 species